GGCACUAGGGCCCAGGUAAGCUUAAGGCCCCCGAAGCCCGUAGUAAGCCUGAAACACUAAAAAUUUACUAUCUCAAUAUAAUUUUUUUAACAUUCAGCCCAUACUGAUUGGAAAAUAAACCGCAAGAUUCUAUUAAACCUCGGCCCAAAUUUAAAACAUCUUAAACAUUUACAAAUUACCCUGCUUACAAUACAAUAUUUAUAAUAUAUGCUCACAGAAUGAUUUCAUCUAUAAUAAUAUACGACUAAAAAUAUACAAAUCCUAUAACUGCGGAGUUCACUAACAAAUGAAUACAGAUAAGUCUUCGGACAUUUAUCUAUUUAAUAGAUCGAUACUAAAAUUAGAGAACUCUUUUCUAACAGUGAAAGAGUAGAGUUAUAGCUGGGACUUAGAAAGAGCUACUUCCUGAAAGAUUUAAACAAAAGAGAUGUGAGUUUGUUAAAGAAUAAUAAUUAUUGCACAACACACGCAUUCACACAAAUGUAUAAAUAUAUCAAUCUAGUCAUCCGACUAGUUAUAUGUUCACACAGCCAGUCACACAAUUGGCAUAUCACCAGCACUCACAAUUAUUAACAUCUUCAUAUAAUCACAUCACGUGGAAAUUAGUCAGUGG
rnacentral:lncRNA from 1 species